rnacentral:misc_RNA from 1 species
GAUGAAGAACGCAGCGAAAUGCGAUAAGUAAUGUGAAUUGCAGAAUUCAGUGAAUCAUCGAAUCUUUGAACGCACCUUGCGCCCUUUGGCUAUUCCGAAGGGCAUGCCUGUUUGAGUAUCAUGAACACCUCAACUCUCAUGGUUUGCCAUGAUGAGCUUGGACUUUGGGGGUCUUGCCGGCCUAUGGGUCGGCUCCUCUCAAAUUAAUCAGCUUACCAGUGUUUGGUGGCAUCACAGGUGUGAUAACUAUCUACGCUUGUGGUUUUCCAUCAGGUAACCUUCAGUGAUGGAGGUUCGCUGGGGCUCAUAAAUGUCUCUCCUCAGUGAGGACAGCUUUUUUGAACGUUUGAUCUCAAAUCAGGUAGGACUACCCGCUGAACUUAAGCAUAUCAAUAAGCGGAGGA